GACGAACGCUGGCGGCGUGCCUAAUACAUGCAAGUAGAACGCACAGUUUAUACCGUAGCUUGCUACACCAUACACUGUGAGUUGCGAACGGGUGAGUAACGCGUAGGUAACCUGCCUGGUAGCGGGGGAUAACUAUUGGAAACGAUAGCUAAUACCGCAUAAUAUUAAUUAUUGCAUGAUAAUUGAUUGAAAGAUGCAAUUGCAUCACUACCAGAUGGACCUGCGUUGUAUUAGCUAGUAGGUGAGGUAACGGCUCACCUAGGCGACGAUACAUAGCCGACCGGGGAGGGUGGUCGGCCACACUGGGACUGGGACACGGCCCAGACUCCUACGGGAGGCAGCAGGAGGGAAUCUUCGGCAAUGGACGAAAGUCUGACCGAGCAACGCCGCGUGAGUGAAGAAGGUUUUCGGGUCGUAAAGCUCUGUUGUAAGAGAAGAACGGGUGUGAGAGUGGAAAGUUCACACUGUGACGGUAUCUUACCAGAAAGGGACGGCUAACUACGUG
rnacentral:rRNA from 1 species